rnacentral:lncRNA from 1 species
CAAACCCCACACGGCCACACCCAGAUCAAUAUUAGAGAGUAUACUUACUCUUGCAGAAAAUUGAUCAUAAACUACUUGAAAGACGACGUCGUUGAGUAGUUCAUGCGUGGCUUUCUUCUGCAAUUGAAUUUCACGCUGCGACUGCGAACAAGAAGAAGAAAAUGUCAUCACUGUUUAUGAGAUUAACAAGGUUUCCUUCAAAACCCUUUUUUCCCUUUACUUUAAGGUUAUUCUCUCACUCUCACAAUGUUAAUGUUAAUGAUGUUAAUGAUGAUGCUAUUUACUCAUUCAAUCGAAUGCUACAAAUGCGUAAUACUCCUUCCAUUAUUGAAUUUAACAAGAUUUUAUGUUCCCUUGUUAAAAUGAAGAAUAAUUACUCAACUGUUAUUUCCCUUUCCCAACAAAUGGAAUUCCAUGGAAUUAGACCUGACAUUUUAACUAUCACCAUUUUGANNNNNNNNNNNNNNNNNNNNNNNNNNNNNNCUUAUAAAAGGCCUUUGUCUUAAAAAUGACAUUCAGAAAGCAUUGUACUUUCAUGAUGAUCUUAUCGCUAAGGGAUUUCAGCUCAACCAGGUUAGUUACGGGACAUUGAUCAAUGGGUUGUCUAAAAUGGGUCAAACAACAGCUGCCCUCCAACUGUUGAGACGGCUCGAAAAAGGAUCAGUCAAGCCUGAUUUAGUAAUUUACAGUACAAUCAUUGACAGCAUGUGCAAAGAUAAGCUUGUAGAUGAUGCUUGUGAAUUAUUUUCUGAAAUGGUUAACAAGGGAAUUUUUCCAAACGUUGUCACUUAUAGUGCUCUAAUCUAUGGUUUUUGUAUUGUGAAUAAAUUAAAAGAAGCAAUUGUUUUGUUGAACGAAAUGGUAUCGAAAAACAUCAACCCAGAUGUUUAUACCUUUAGUAUAUUGAUUGAUGCGUUUUGUAAAGAGGGAAAGAUGAAAGAAGCUAAAAGUAUGUUAGCUGUGAUGAUGAAACAAGGUACGAAACCUAAUGUAAUUACUUAUAAUACUUUAAUGGAUGGGUUCUGCCUUCGUAAUGAAGUGAAAAAGGCAUUACAUAUAUUUAACACUAUGAUUCAAAGGGGAGUGAUGCCCGAUGUUAAGAGCUACAACAUCAUGAUAAAUGGAUUUUGUAAGAGUGAAAUGGUGGAUGAAGCCAUCAAACUCUUUGAAGAAAUGUAUUUAAAAAAUAUGAUUCCUAAUACAGUAACAUACAACACUCUUAUUGAUGGCUUGUGCAAAUCAGGGAGAAUUGCAUAUGCUUGGGAGCUUGUAGAUGAGAUGUGUGACAGAGGCCAACCGCCCAAUGUAAUCACCUACAAUUC